GGACUUGUAGCUCUGCGGCAGAGCAUUUGCCUUGAAGGUAGAAGGUCGCAAGUUAAAUUCCUGGCAUCUCCA